CCGACCUUAGCUCAGUUGGUAGAGCGGAGGACUGUAGUGGGAUUCCCCAGAUAUCCUUAGGUCGCUGGUUCGAAUCCGGCAGGUCGGA
rnacentral:tRNA from 1 species